rnacentral:rRNA from 1 species
UACGAAGGGUGCAAGCGUUAUCCGGAUUCAUUGGGUUUAAAGGGUGCGUAGGCGGGCUAUUAAGUCAGUGGUGAAAGCCCCAAGCUUAACUUGGGAACUGCCAUUGAUACUGAUGGUCUUGAGUACAUUUGAGGUGGGCGGAAUGUGUCAUGUAGCGGUGAAAUGCUUAGAUAUGACACAGAACACCGAUUGCGAAGGCAGCUCAUUAAACUGUAACUGACGCUGAGGCACGAAAGCGUGGGGAGCAAACAGG